CAGGUUAAUCAGUUGACCAUGACUUAGUCACUUAUUGCUAUAAUGUUGACAAACAUUCCUAUCAGAGCAGGCUGACCCUGUUAGGAAAACGUGUGUUCUGAGUCAAAAUUCAGUCAGAGGGUCAGCAAACAGGAAGUCUGUAGGAAAGAUAGGACAAUAACUGGAAAACCAGGGUCAGAGACCUCAGUGCCAGGGCCUGGCCAUGGUGAACCGGAGACCCCAGCACAGAUGGGAGUUUGGACUUGGGCCAGAACUUUGCUUAUUGAGCUGGCGGUUGGCUUCAUGAAGGGAGCUGGUAGGACAUGAAAAGUUUGGGUUCAGAGUUGGAAGACAGGAUCAUUAGCUUGAGUGGAGGAUGAUAAUUGGAAAUUAAGUGAUGUGGCUUAUGACUGGAGUGAGGCACGGUGACUCACUCCAGUAAUCCCAGCACUCUGGGAGGCUGAGGCAGGCGAAUCACAAGGUCGGGCAUUUGAGAUCAGCCUGACCAGUAUGCUGAAACCCCUUCUCUACUAAAAAUACAAAAGUCAGCCAGGCAUGGUGGCAUAGGCCUGUAAUCCCAGCUACGCUGGAGGCUGAGUCAGGAGAAUCACUUGAACCUGGGAGGUGGAGGUUGCAGUAAGGCAAGAUGGUGCCACUGCACUCCAGCCUGAUUGUCAGAGUGAGACUCCAUCUCAAAAAAAACGGAGUUGCUAUGGGUGGAGCACCUGACCGUGGAGGAGGAACUUAUGCAUCUGUCGUAGCUAUUGCAGCUACAGAACGAUAACCUAAUGAGAAUUCUGCAGUCUCGGUAAUUUACUUUAAUAACCAGAAAAUCAGAAUUGCUCUCUCUUUCUCUCUGUUCCUGUUUUCUCUAAGAUAACGGGAAAAUGAGGACCAAAUCUCAGCAAACUGGUGCCUUUCUAUCAUAUCUCAUUCAGUGUCUUUCACCUCAUCAUCUGUUAUAUGCCACUUAUGUUUUGAGCAUAUUUGCUGGGCUCAGCCUGAGCUUGAUGUCCUGGGUCAGACUUCUUUGAAGCCAGAAUCUGCCAUGGAAAUCAGGUCCUGGGAUGAGGGAAAGUGCUACCUGCCGGACAGGACUCAGAGGACAAGGAGUGCCACAUGGGCGAGAACCCUGACACUGAGUAGAAGCAACAAGGCACCAAUCUAAAAGUCAGGGCAGGAAGAGAUCAGAGGUACUGGGCAGACAUCACAGGAGACAUAAAUGCGGAGAAAGCAAGGUGGCAAUUAUUAAAAGUGGCAUGGCUGGGUGGAGGCCCGGGGAAAGUAAGGAGCUGCGCAGUUGGAGACGUGGUUCUAGGGUGUGUUGGGCACAUGUUUUCUUCGCCUCAGACUCAAGUCAUAGCAGCCCAGGAUUCUUUUCCUUAUCAAGUUAUUAUAGGAAGGAAAAGCAAUGGCAACAACAUAUCCACAAGCAUUCACCUGUCAUAUGGAAAGAAAGGAUGGGCCAUUUGUAAGAAAAUAGAAGUACGUAUAUGUCCUCAAAAAAAUUCAAUAAGUUUAUCUUUCAGGGAUACCUAAAGCUUCCAACCAGUUGCCCCAUAUUCUUUCCCAGUAAAUAAUGUCAUGCAUUGUUUAGGAGUGGGGCAAAUUUUCUGGAAGGAACUCGUGAACAUGUGACCAAAGCUUUAAAAAAGAGCAUGUCACCCUACAGAUUAUAUUUAUCUUCAUGGGCUCCGUGUGGUAGCAGUAAUGCUACUAUUUUUUUUUUUUAAGAUGGAUUCUUACUUUGUGGCCCAGGCUGGAGUGCAGUGGCGUGAUCUCGGCUCACUGGAACAUCCACCUCCCCGAUUCAAGUGAUUCUCCAGCCUCAGCCUCCCGACUACCUGUGACUACAGCAGGAUCGCCAGUGCUACAGCCCCCUGGGGAUGGACUCAUUUCAACAGCAGCAGAAGCUCGCCUCUAGAAGAACUCCCAUUUGCACAGGACAGAGAUGAGUGGAAAUGAACAUAUGACACUGAUAGGCAUCUCCCGAUGGAGUCUUGCUCUGUCACCCAGGCUGGAGUACACUGGUGCCAUCUUGGCUCACUGCAACCUCUGCCUCCUGGAUUCAAGUGAUUCUCCUGCCUCAGCCUCCUGAGUAACUGGGAUUACAGGCACCUGCCACCACACCCAGAUUAUUUUUGUAUUUUUAGUAGAAACAGGGUUUCUAGUCUCGGACUCCUGACCUCAGGUCAUCCACCCACCUUGGCGUCCCAAAGUGCUGGGAUUACAGGCAUGAGCCAUGGUGCCUGACCAAGAAAGCUGAACUUUACAAAGAAGAGACAGAAACCUGGGGAGAGAGAUGAAGACCCAUAAGUUAGAGAAGGUGGGGCCAGGGGCUAUCAGUGGAUGCUGAAGGUCCAUGUCCCCCUUCUUUCUUUUAGUAGUAAAGCUCUUUAGGGGACAAGUCACCUGAGGACAAGGCUGGCCAGCCCAUGUCCUAGAAGAUGGAUCUGAGCAGAUGUGAUGCGUGCAAAUCCCCAAUCACCUCAUUUAGAAAGGAGGAUGCCCACCCUUCACUCUGUUUGUUCCAGAUCCUAGGAAGUGGCUGUGGUGCUGGGCAUGGGGGCAGCUUCACCAGGAGUGCCAGUGGAUGUCUGCAGUUAACAGCAGAGGACAGCGUGGGGUCCUGGGCAGGUGCAAGCAUGAGCAUAAACAGUGUCAGCAAACCAGGGGUGCUAGAAUGAGCAGAUGGCCCAGCCCACUGUGCAAUCCACCUCCUGCCCACCUUCACCCACUUGGAGGGACAGGGUUCUCUGCAGCCAGCUGGGGCAUUAGUCUCACGAGCAGGUAGCACCUGCCCCAUGCCUUCCCUGGGAGAGGGUGUCAUGAGAGGCCCACCUGGCUCUUCCUUGGGAUUCUUGAAUCUAUAUAUAUAUAGAGAGAGAGAGAGAGAGAGAGAGAGAUGGAGUCUUGCUCUGUUGCCCGGGCUGGAAUGCAGUGGCACGAUCUCAGCUCACUGAAACCUAUGCCUCCUGGGAUCAAGUGAUUCUCCUGCCUCAGCCUCCUGAGUAGCUGGGACUACAGGUGCACGCCACCACACCUGGCUAAUUUUUUUUUGUAUUUUUAGUAGAGACGGGGUUUUAGGGUUUCACCAUGUUGGCCAGUCUUGUCUUGAACUCCUCACCUCAGAUGAUCCGCCUGCCUUGGCCUCCCAAAAUGCUGGGAUUACAGGUGUGAACCACUGCACCCGGUAGAAUCCACAUUUUCUAAGGAGCCGGGGAGGCGGCUGUUUUCAGAGACAAGCCUUCCCGUGACAUAAUAGGUUGUCUUGUUUAUGAGCCUCCUCCUGCCCUUGGCAGCCUUGCCUUCAGCCUUGCCAUCCUUGGCCAGCAGCCUAGUAGCAGGCUGGGCAGGGCUCACAGAUGGGCAGCUUUCAUUCCAGCUUCCUGUGUGGAUGAAGCCCACGUCCCUAGGGGGUCAAGUGACAAAGUGAGUGCAAAUGAGCCCCGGUGCCCUAGCCCAGCCACUGACCUCGAUAUAACAGUAAGCAGAGAAGUCAUCUCUCUAUUUUUAACCACAGUAUUUGUGGACCUCUGUUUUGUAGAAGCUUAGCCCGUAUCCUGCACACUGUCAGAUGCUUUGUGGAGUCAGUGGCCUUUGACCUUGAGAAGCGUACAGUGGGCGGCAUGGGGGGAAAUCAGUGUAGAAAGAAAUUUUCUGGUGGCACCUUCAUGGGACUCCUCACAACUCCAAAAUACUUAGGAACCUUCUAUGCUCAGAAGAGGACACAAAUGGCUGUUAGAAAUUCCUUGCAAUGUUGCAAUGAUGGUUCCAGUUGCUUCACUGUUUCCCAAGGGGGUAAGUGCCCUUAUUAGUUUCUGAGGAGAAAAACAUACCUCCAGGAUAUUACCUUACUCUGAGAUCUGCUUUUGUGCCUGGUAAUUGAAGGAGUCCCAGCACGUAUCAGAAUGAUUAAGGUUUGUGGGAAGGAGUUUGUUUUUUUUUUUUUUUUUAGUAUUGGGCUCUUGGGUGGUACUAUUGAAGUAACAUUCUGUGCUGAUUUCUUAGCAGAAAUAUCCAAAGGAACAACAACCACGUCUUUGUCAACUUUGAGAUGGAGUCUCACUCUGUCACCAGGCUGGAGUGCAGUGGUGCGAUCUCGGCUCACUGCAACCUCUGCCUCCUGGGUUCAAGUUGUUUUCACGCCUCAGCCUCCAGAGUCGCUGGGACUAUAGUGCAUGCCACCAUGCCCAGCUAAUUUUUGUAUUUUUAGUAGAGACAGGGUUUUACCAUGUUGGCCAGGCUGGCCUCAAUCUCUUCACCUCAUGAUCUGCCUCUCUCAGCCUCCCAAAGUGCUGGGAUUACAGGCAUGAGCCAUCACUCCCAGCUUUUCUGCAGUAUUUUCAAUAUAACACAUUGAUAAUGUAGAGUAGAUAUUUUAAGCAGUCAGCAAAUAUAUUCCAUGUCUAGCCUGCAGUAGGAAGUUUUCCUAGCCCCUGUAAAGCAUGCAAAAAUGAUUAUGUCCAUGUCCCUGUCCUUGGUGCGCUUAGAGUCUGCUUAGAAAUAAUUCCAGUUAAAAUAAAACAUGGCAGCUUCGACCAGAGGUUUAUGGUAAAGAUAUUGCCAGUUAUAUAAACUUAGGAUUAGAAUCUUCUCAAUGGAGCAAAGACCAGACUUUCCUGCUUUGGAGAACAACAUGGUAUUCUAUUGUAAGUAGAUGCUGCUUGUAGAUAUUUUUCAUGCUUGGGGAAUAAAAAUAAUUUCUCCUCAUUUGGUUACCAUCCAUUGAUAGUAGCAGCUAACUUCGGAGGAGGACUGGGCCCAGAUAAGAUUAAUCCUGAUGUAGCAGCCUGUUAAACCAGGUAUUUAUCAAAGUGUUUUAUGGGGGCCAUAGUUCAUUAUUUUCUCCUUCUCUGUACUACAGGGAACAUUAGCUUUCUGAGUAGGUCAUUUUGGAAGUAGUCCCUGUGAUAGGACUACGGCUUUAUGGAUUGCCUCCAGUGACAUUGGCUGUUGCAUGCUCUCCAUUUAGAAAUAAAGAAGCCUGUGGCCUCAUAUCCAAUUCAUAGAAUUCCAGGCUGCUGCCUAACUUCUGCAUAAUAGGAACACCUUGCUGCCAGGAGCCGUUUCUCUAAGCAGGCCACUUUUGAAGUUGCUUAUUGAUUGAACAGUUAGUUAUGGCAGCAUAAAACCUGACCAUGGGAAGUGACAAUUGACAGAAUCACCUGAAAGCGCCUUUGCUACAUCACUGAUCUUCCCCUUAAAUCCCUUCCUCUGGGAUUCUUCCCCAUCUCAGACGGAAACCCCAUCUUUCCAGAUGGAGUAUUGCUCUGUCACCAGCUUGGAGUGCAGGAUGCGAUCUUGGCUGACUGCCAGGCUCAAGUCGUUCUUCUGCCUCAGCCUCCUGAGUGUCUGGGACUACAGGCGCAUGCCACCAUGUCCAGCUAAUUUUUGUAUCUUUAGUAGAGACAGGGUUUCACCAUGUUGGCCAGGAUGGCCUUGAUCUCUUGACCUCCUGAUCCACCCGCCUUGGCCUCCCAAAGUGCUGGGAUUACAGGCAUGAGCCACUGCGCCUGGCUGCCUUACACUUUCUUGUCUGAUUCUUGUCUGUAUUGCUCAUCUAGACUGCAAACUCCAAAAAGAAACCUGAAAAUGUCUCUUAUACUUCAAAAUGAAAACCAAAGUCCCUUAGCAUUUUUAACCUCAAAUGAAUAAAACACAGACCACAUUGACGCCAAAAGAGGAUGUGAAGAUCACAGAGGGAAAAGAUAAAUGACACCUUUGCACAACAGGCGGCCAGCAGAGCCCUAUCCUCAUGGUUCUCGGGUACAUGUGCAGAUCAUGCAGGAUUGCUGCAUAGAAUCUGGGACCUCAGGUGACCUGUCAGCUAAAGGGUGCGAUGUGACUUCUUCGUGUGGUUUUGGACUUCCUCACAACAUGGUGGCCUUGAGAUGGUUGGAAUUCUUACAGGGUGUCUCAGGGCUCAAAGCAUGAGAGCUCCAGUAAACAAAAGGAAAGCUUUAUGGCCUUGACGGCUCAGCUUCUGAAGCUACGCAGCAUCAUUUUUGGUAUCUCAAAUGGGAUCUUGGAAGGGUGAUGUGUGAAUUUUGUAUGUGAAAGAAAUUUCAAUAAUUUGUUGCCAGAAGAUGGUCUAUGGUGGUUUUUGUAUGUGAAAGAAAUUUCAAUAAUUUGUUACCAGAAAAUGGUCUGUGGUGGUUUUUUAACUGAAAAUUAUUUGUCACUCUUGCCAUUAGGCAAUGGCGUCCAUGCUUCUUUCUCUUGACUCUAGGUGAGCUUGUGACUGCCUCAAACAAGAGUGUAAUGGAGAAAAAAAGUAUAACAGAAAUUCCUCACUGAGAAAGUUAUUUCCUAUUCCUAGUUUUCUGAGAGUUUUUAAUCAUCAGUGGAUAUCAAAAUUUAUCAAUUCUUUUCACACAUGUGUUAAUAUAAUCAGUUUUUUUGCAGUUUAGUCUAUGAAUAUAGUAAAUUAUAUUCUGGAUUUUUAAAUUUCAAACCAAUUUUCAUUCUUAGGAUAAAUAUCACUUGGUGGUGGUGGUCAUGGAUAUUUUUCUUUUCAUAUCUUGCUGGCUUCGGUUUGCUAAUAUUUUGUUAAUGAUUUUUAUGGUUAUUGUUUAUGGUCUAUAGUUUUUUUUUUCUUCUUAUAUAUCUGUUUCAUUUUAGUAUCAGAGUCUCAUAUAAGGAGUUUGGAAGUGAUGUUUAAUUUUUUAUUUUCUGAACAAAUAUGUAGAAUUUUUAUUAUUUCAUUAUCACAUUUUUAGGGGAC